UACAGAGGGGGCAAGCGUUGUUCGGAAUUACUGGGCGUAAAGGCGCGUAGGCGGCCCGCUAAGUCGAACGUGAAAUCCCUGGGCUCAACCCAGGAACUGCGUCCGAUACUGGUGGGCUUGAAUCCGGGAGAGGGAUGUGGGAAUUCCAGGUGUGAGCGGUGAAAUGCGCAGAUAUCAGGAGGAACACCAAUGGUGAAGGCAGCUCGCUGGGACGUGACUGACGCUGAGACGCGAAAGCGUGGGGAGCAAACAGG
rnacentral:rRNA from 1 species